rnacentral:lncRNA from 1 species
CACCACUGCACUCCAGCCUGGCAAACAGAGGGAGACUCUGUCUCAAAAGAAAAAAAGAAAAAGAAAGUUGAGGCUUCCUGAAGCUACACACCACACACCCCCAUCCACCACCCAGCGAGUGGUAGAGUCCUGCAGCUCAGCAGACCACCUCCUCAACAAAACCUGUGUUUGCUUUCUUCUGGCACAGAGGGACUGAAUCAAGGUCAGGUUCAGACCCAGCCUCUGAGGAGGGACCUGAACUGGCCUGGGGAGCUACACCUUGGGGGCUUUCUCAGGAUCCAGCAGAGAAGCCUCCAGCACCAGCCUGGGGAUGGAGCUGCAGCGACGAGGACCGGGAGGCUGGAAUACCCGCCUCACUCCCAGCCCGGCUCAGCCCAGCCCAGAAAGGGCCCAGCCCUGUGAUUGGUCCUUGGGUCCCUGUUGCCAGGAAUUGAGUCCAAGAAAAUGAGAAGGAAGGGAGUGCGUAGGUCCAGUGAGGACGGAGGUGAAAUUUAUAUCUCUGCCAGAGCCUGGGUGCCUGCACCGCCAUGGACACCACCAGGUACAGCAAGUGGGGGGGCAGCUCGGAGGAGGUCCCUGGAGGUAUGAGCAAUGAGACUGCCUCAUCCCUGCCCCAGUGUCUGGGGUUUGAUGGGGGAGGGGAGGGAAGAGCCAAGACGGGCCAGGGUCGUGGGUGCAGGAGAGACACCACAGGCCACAGAGCCAGUUGGACCAGGGUCCAAUUCCCACUCUGCCACUUAGAAGCUGUGUGACCACAGGCAAGUUACUUAACUUCUCUGAAUCUCAGUUUCCUGGGAGGAACCCAGGCCUCCAGGGCUCAGUCCUAGGGGACCCAGCAUGCCGUCCUUGUUCUGUCAGGGCACUGGGGACGCUGGGUGCACUGGAGCCGGAGACCCCUCUUCCUGGCCCUGGCUGUCCUGGUCGCCACAGUCCUGUGGGCUGUGAUCCUGAGUAUCCUAUUGUCCAAGGCCUCCACGGAGCGCGCGGCGCUGCUCGGCUGCCAGGACCUGCUGAGGACAAACGGUGCUUGCAGAGCGGGACGCCUGGGCCCCCGGGCCGUGCGGGGCGGGAGCGUCUGAGAUCGCGGAGAUGGAGUCUCGGCUGCUCUUAG